rnacentral:rRNA from 1 species
GAUCAUGGCUCAGAUUGAACGCUGGCGGCAGGCCUAACACAUGCAAGUCGAACGGUAACAGGAAACAGCUUGCUGUUUCGCUGACGAGUGGCGGACGGGUGAGUAAUGUCUGGGAAACUGCCUGAUGGAGGGGGAUAACUACUGGAAACGGUAGCUAAUACCGCAUAAUGUCGCAAGACCAAAGAGGGGGGACCUUCGGGCCUCUUGCCAUCGGAUGUGCCCAGAUGGAUUAG